GACGAACGCUGGCGGCGUGCUUAACACAUGCAAGUCGAACGGAAAGGCCCUGCUUUUGUGGGGUGCUCGAGUGGCGAACGGGUGAGUAACACGUGAGUAACCUGCCCUUGACUUUGGGAUAACUUCAGGAAACUGGGGCUAAUACCGGAUAGGAGCUCCUGCUGCAUGGUGGGGGUUGGAAAGUUUCGGCGGUGGGGGAUGGACUCGCGGCUUAUCAGCUUGUUGGUGGGGUAGUGGCUUACCAAGGCUUUGACGGGUAGCCGGCCUGAGCGGGGGACCGGCCACAUUGGGACUGAGGUACGGCCCAGACUCCUACGGGAGGCAGCAGUAGGGAAUAUUGCACAAUGGGCGGAAGCCUGAUGCAGCAACGCUGCGUGCGGGAUGACGGCCUUCGGGUUGUAAACCGCUUUCGCCUGUGACGAAGCGUGAGUGACGGUAAUGGGUAAAGAAGCACCGGCUAACUACGUG
rnacentral:rRNA from 1 species